GGAGAUUUCUUCCCAUGAACUCCUACAUUAGGCAUUAAGAAGUAAGAUCUAAAUUACCUGAGAAAUACUGAAAAAAUAAAGGGGUCCAAUAGCAUGCAACAACAAAGCAAUCAAAUGCAAGUAAAUAUUUAAAAGGCCAAAUGACCAGAAAAAUUUCGCAUCUCCAAAUAUUUCCAUGCAUUUUCGAUUUUAGCCUUAUUU
rnacentral:misc_RNA from 1 species